AGCUGUAGGAGUGUGGAUGCUGGGUGUCUGGCUGAUGAAUCUGCAGAACCCCGGACAGGGCAGUGCUGCCAGAAGCUGGUGAGCAUUAGAAGGAGCCCUGAGCUGGUUGCUGGGACUCCAUUAGGACAAGGUCCUGAGAACUUGAGACCUCUGUUGCAGAAAACAGACCUAACAUGGAAUGGCAUAUUCUUGGCAGUGACCCAGGAGACAGUAAGAGAGCUGUAAAAGUAAUAAUGUGCUUUAUGAAGUUGUGGUCUUCAGAGUCUCCCACUCCAUAGUCACAGAACGCCUGAGCCAGAUAACGAGGAUAGAGAAAAGGACUUGGGAUGACAUGUUCCAGGAGAUCUUGGAAGCCAGUCCUGCAUCAGAGAACAAACACAGGGACUGGAGGAUGGUGCCCAGGCCCUGGGGGUGCUCAAAGCCCUGCUCUGCCCCAGGCCUCACCCCCACCUGACCCCUUCCCUCAAGUCCCCACCCCCGCCCAGCCUCUUCCCACCCUCGGCCCCACCCCCAUCCCUUCUCCCAAGUUCAGUGUUCAGUUAGGCCCAGCGCUUUGGCAUGAGUUGGCACCUGGACUGCCAGAGUC